GAUGGAGUAGUGUAGUGGUUAUCACAUCUGCUUUACAUGCAGAAGGUCCUGGGUUCAAUCCCCAGUGGGGUUUGUUUCUUUCA